rnacentral:rRNA from 1 species
AGUGAACGCUGGCGGUAGGCCUAACACAUGCAAGUCGAACGGCAGCACAGUAAGAGCUUGCUCUUACGGGUGGCGAGUGGAGGACGGGUGAGGAAUACAUCGGAAUCUACUUUUUCGUGGGGGAUAACGUAGGGAAACUUACGCUAAUACCGCAUACGACCUACGGGUGAAAGCAGGGGAUCUUCGGACCUUGCGCGAUUGAAUGAGCCGAUGUCGGAUUAGCUAGUUGGCGGGGUAAAGGCCCACCAAGGCGACGAUCCGUAGCUGGUCUGAGAGAAGGAUCAGCCACACGGGAACGGAGCCACGGUCCAGACUCCUAAGGGAGGCACCAGUGGGGAAUAUUGGACAAUGGGGGAAAGCCUGAUCCAGCAAUACGGCGUGGGUGAAGAAGGCCUUGGGGUUGUAAAGCCCUUUUGUUGGGAAAGAAAAGCAGCAGGUUAAUACCCCGCUGGUCUGACGGUACCCAAAGAAUAAGCACCGGCUAACUUCGUG